AGUAAUGCGUGGGUAACCUGCCUCACACAGGGGGAUAACAGUUAGAAAUGACUGCUAAUACCGCAUAACCCGAUAGGAUCGCAUGAUCCAGACGGAAAAGAUUUAUCGGUGUGAGAUGGACCCGCGUCUGAUUAGCUAGUUGGUGAGGUAAUGGCCCACCAAGGCGACGAUCGGUAGCCGGACUGAGAGGUUGAACGGCCACAUUGGGACUGAGACACGGCCCAG
rnacentral:rRNA from 1 species